rnacentral:rRNA from 1 species
GCCGGUACUCGCCGAAUGCCNCUAGGCUNUUAAGUUUGAUCAUGGCUCAGAGNCAACGCUGUAAGUAGGCCUAACACAUGCAAGUCGAACGGCAGCACAGGAGAGCUUGCUCUCUGGGUGGCGAGAUGGACGGACGGGUGAGGAAUACAUCGGAAUCUACACUGUCGUGGGGGAUAACGUAGGGAAACUUACGCUAAUACCGCAUACGACCUACGGGUGAAAGCAGGGGAUCUUCGGACCUUGCGCGAUUGANAUGAGCCGAUGUCGGAUUAGCUAGUUAGGCGGGGUAAAGGCCCACCAAGGCGACGAUCCGUAGCUAGGUCUAGAGAGGAUGAUCAGCCAACACUAGGAACUGAGAACACAGGUCCAGAACUCCUACCGGGAGGGCAGCAAGAUGGGGGAACAANANCGGACAAAUGGGGCAGCA